GACGAACGCUGGCGGCGUGCUUAACACAUGCAAGUCGAACGGAAAGGCCCUGCUUUUGUGGGGUGCUCGAGUGGCGAACGGGUGAGUAACACGUGAGUAACCUGCCCUUGACUUUGGGAUAACUUCAGGAAACUGGGGCUAAUACCGGAUAGGAGCUCCUGCUGCAUGGUGGGGGUUGGAAAGCUUCGGCGGUUGGGGAUGGACUCGCGGCUUAUCAGCUUGUUGGUGGGGUAGUGGCUUACCAAGGCUUUGACGGGUAGCCGGCCUGAGAGGGUGACCGGCCACAUUGGGACUGAGAUACGGCCCAGACUCCUACGGGAGGCAGCGGUGGGGAAUAUUGCACAAUGGGCGGAAGCCUGAUGCAGCAACGCCGCGUGCGGGAUGACGGCCUUCGGGUUGUAAACCGCUUUCGCCUGUGACGAAGCGUGAGUGACGGUAAUGGGUAAAGAAGCACCGGCUAACUACGUG
rnacentral:rRNA from 1 species